rnacentral:rRNA from 1 species
GUCGACUGGAAUUCACCUUCGGGUGAUAGUACGGUGGCGGACGGGUGAGUAACGCGUAAAGAACUUGCCCUCUAGACUGGGACAACUGUUGGAAACGACAGCUAAUACCGGAUAUUAUGAGAUUCUCGCAUGGGAAACUUAUGAAAGGCUAUAUGCGCUAGAGGAGAGCUUUGCGUGCCAUUAGGUAGUUGGUAGGGUAAUGGCCUACCAAGCCGACGAUGGCUAGCCGGCCUGAGAGGGUGAUCGGCCACAAGGGGACUGAGACACGGCCCUUACUCCUACGGGAGGCAGCAGUGGGGAAUAUUGGACAAUGGACCAAAAGUCUGAUCCAGCAAUUCUGUGUGCACGAUGAAGGUUUUCGGAUCGUAAAGUGCUUUCAGGUGGGAAGAAAAAAAUGACGGUACCACCAGAAGAAGCGACGGCUAAAUACGUGCCAGCAGCCGCGGUAAUACGUAUGUCGCAAGCGUUAUCCGGAAUUAUUGGGCGUAAAGCGCGUCUAGGCGGCCUUUUAAGUCUGAUGUGAAAAUGCGGGGCUCAACUCCGUAUUGCGUUGGAAACUGGAAGGCUAGAGUAUCAGAGAGGUGGGCGGAACUACAAGUGUAGAGGUGAAAUUCGUAGAUAUUUGUAGGAAUGCCGAUUGGGAAGCCAGCUCACUGGAUGAAUACUGACGCUGAAGCGCGAAAGCGUGGGGAGCAAACGGGAUUAGAUACCCCGGUAGUCCACGCCGUAAGCGAUGAUCACUAAGUGUGGGGGGUCGAACCUCCGUGCUCAAGCUAACGCGAUAAGUGAUCCGCCUGGGGAGUACGCACGCAAGUGUGAAACUCAAAGGAAUUGACGGGGACCGCACAAGCGGUGGAGCAUGUGGUUUAAUCGACGCAACGCGAGGAAACUUACCAGCCCU